rnacentral:rRNA from 1 species
UGCCAGCCGCCGCGGUAAUACGAAGGGGGCUAGCGUUGUUCGGAAUCACUGGGCGUAAAGCGCGCGUAGGCGGACUUUUAAGUCAGGGGUGAAAUCCCGAGGCUCAACCUCGGAACUGCCAUUGAUACUGAAGUUCUUGAAUGUAGUUGAGGUAGGCGGAAUGUGUUGUGUAGCGGUGAAAUGCAUAGAUAUGACACAGAACGCCAAUUGCGAAGGCGGCUUACUAAGCUACGAUUGACGCUGAGGCACGAAAGUGUGGGGAGCGAACAGGAUUAGAUA